UGAGAAUUCAGAUUACUUUUAUUUUUCUGUACAGAAGAUGAAAUACAGAUAGGGAACAAACUUGGAUUUGGUCAUGGCUCUUACAGUAACAAAACCGGUAAGGUUUUCUAUUCUCUACCGCAAGUAAAA